rnacentral:lncRNA from 1 species
GAAAUGCCAUUGAAUUUGAACAUAAUUCUAAGCAAUUUUCUUUCACCUGGAAUUUUUGAAUACAGGGUGUGUUCAGUUCCCGAGGAGAGAAGAUCCUCAUGGCAGAUGCUGAUGGAGCCACAAAGUUUCCAGAUGUUGAGAAACUAGAGAAGGGGCUGAGUGAUCUACAGCCAUGGCCUGAACAAAUGGCUAUUGCAUGUGGGUCUCGAGCUCAUCUAGAGAAAGAAUCGAUUGCUCAGCGUUCUUACUUCCGGACCCUUCUUAUGUACGGAUUCCAUUUCCUGGUGUGGUUCCUCUGUGUCAAAGGAAUCAGGGACACACAGUGCGGAUUCAAACUACUGACCCGAGAAGCAGCGGCCCGCACCUUCUCGUCUCUGCACAUUGAACGAUGGGCAUUUGAUGUAGAACUGCUAUACAUAGCACAGUUUCUUCAAAUCCCAAUAGCAGAAGUUGCUGUCAACUGGACAGAAAUUGAGGGUUCUAAGUUAGUUCCGUUUUGGAGCUGGCUACAAAUGGGCAAAGACCUGCUUUUUAUCCGACUUCGGUAUCUGACCGGUGCCUGGAGGCUUGAGCAAACAAGGAAAGUGAGUUAGUUUGCUGGUAGGACUGGACUACAUUUUUAACCGACAGUGUCAUGCAAUCUUACUUGAAAUCAAGGUUUCCAAUAAAACUUCGAUGGACCUGUUCUCCCU